CAUCGCUGAACUCCGGUCGAUUUAAGCCGUAAAGUAAAAUUCAAACGCAAAGGAGAACGCGGCCCUCUGACCCAUUUCACAGUUUUAAUGCCCGUAAGAGACAGAAAUAAGAGCUUUACCGACGAGAUCAGUAAUUAGUCGCUCGAUCGAGGAAUCCAUGAGGUAAUAAUGCGUCGUUUAACGGCCCCAGAAGGGAUCUACUCGAUUUCCCCGCAGCAUCGAUCACGAUGGACACGCCAGGUGACGAACGGUUUACGAUCGAUAAACUUGCCAAUGCGAGAUUACCGUCGCGAGCAACGGCCGAGAACUGUUCCCUGCAUCCCAAAUACUGCCUGACGAAAUUAAUGGGAGAGAGGAGUCGGUUUCUCGGUUAAUGGACAAUGACUGAGACCAGUUGGCGAAACAACGCCGUUUCGAACCGGAUGGAACAGUGACUGAUACUCGCUUUGGACUCGCCUUGACAUCCGGCUAUUUUGAAUCCAACUAUUUCUUGAGUGAACUCGGGGCAAGUUUGAUGGCAACCGAGUUCCUGCCAGAAAUUCAAUUUCCCCAGACAACAGCGCAUCAUAAUUAAUUUGCCGAACGCAUGAUGAUCCUCCGGUGAUACGGAAUCGUAAUUUAGAAAACGAUUCUGCAUCGAAACAACGAUAUCAGAGACAUGGCUGAUGUUUUGACAAUUUAAAUGCAUGCAGAGUCGGAUAAGAUCUGUUCACGGAGGCGUGGAAUAAACGAGAUCAUUCUGAGGGAACAAGAUCAAACCGGGCGAUACAUUCGGAUCCGCGGAUUAGUUUAACGAAGUCCCGCUGCAUUUAUAAAAGGAGCCUGAUUAAACCCAAGAGAUCCGGCGAUAGCUGGUCCUCCGAAAAAGGAGGACUGCUUUUCCCUGCGAAUGGAUCGAACCGGGGAAGAGGAGCGAGGCGAGAGGCAGCGGCGGCUUAAGUAAAUAAGAGUGGACAGUAAAGACCGGCGGAAAUGAGCUUAAUAAAAUAACGAGCUGGAGCGAGACGAGCGAGCGGGUCUACCGCCCUUUUAAACGGGUUGCAGACUUUUCACUUCGCCGGCUCCUUCUCGUCCCGCUGAAGAUUUUUACAUUCAGACACAAGUGUCUUCCGCCAAAGAUUCUCUUUAUUCCACGAACGUCGCUGCGAUAAUUUACCUAAUUCGAAAGAAAAGACGCGGCCACUUGAGAAUCUCAUUAAAACGAGAUACAAGUUGAAGCAGGGAACGUCGAGUUGUAAAGACACCAUCUAGAGCAUUUUUCGUCGAGGUGGAAAAUUUAUAGUAAUCAUUUGACAAUUAUUUCAGAAUAUUUAAAUUAUUUUUGUAAUACAUUUUUAAUCGGAAUUAUCAGACGAAAUAUAAUGUUGAAAAAAUA